CGCGUUCUUGUUUGUUUGGUUUCUUCCAUGGUAAAAUUGUUUGGGUGCCGAACUAAGAGAAUUGAAGGAGAAGAAGAAAUGAGAGAGAGGAAUUGAUUGACCUGGAUGAGCCAAACAACAAUGGUUAUGGCGGCAACACUUCACUAGACAACGUCUUGGAUAUCAUGGUGCUCACUACUGCUGGACUGUUCUAGCCAAAAUUGGCCACAAACUUCGGCUGUUUGGGUCGCAGAUGACAGAGAAGGUGAUGGCGAGCAACUUUCGUGAAGAAACGAUGUCAAGAUAAGGUCGUUAUGGUGACGGAAGGUAGCCAUGAAAUUGGGUUUGCCGCAAGCCGUGACUAUUGGACUGCUCCAACCAAAAUUGGCCAUAAAAGCCAACUGUUUGGGUCAGGUAUUAUGGGAAGAUGAUAGAGGAGGUGAUGGCGAACAACUUUCGUGAAGGAACGACAACGAGAUAAUGUUGUUACGGCGACGGAAAGUCACUGUGAAAUUGGGAAUGUAGCUGCCCUAUUUUCUAGUCGAGAGAGAGACGGGAAGGAUGAGAUUUGAUUUUGGCCAGGCUUUUAAACAAAAAGGGUAUAAUUUUAUUUAAUUUUUCUAAUUUAGACAAGCCCAACAAAUCUGGGCCUCCUCUUUGGCCAAAUCGAAAACAAAAUUUGAAUCCAAGGUAUUAAACCCAAAUAGAAAUACUCUAUGUCUCAAAUCCUAAUUAGUAAGGAUCGUUAUUUCUAAUACCUAGUUUUUCAAAGUCUAAAAUAUCCCUAACAACAACAUCACAUGCCAUUCACAUGGUCAAACUUGACAUAUUUUGUCACGGUAGGACCUACUUGCAACUACUUAUUGAGUUAACGGAUGUAAUUACCUCAAAAAAAAUAUAAAAAAUUGCAGGACUCAAUCGAAACUUGAGGUAAACAAUGGGAUUAGAAAAAAAAUUAAAAAAUAAAUAAAAACCCCAAACUCAAAAAUCACAGUUCAAAUUCAAAGUUGUGAAAAACUAUGGGAUUAUAAAAAACUUAAAAAAUAAAUAAAACAAAUUGAAAACAAACAAGCAUUAGGCAAACCUAAAAAAUUGGUGAGAAAUAGAGAGAGAAGCUCAUCCUUUU
rnacentral:lncRNA from 1 species